ACAUAAUAGAUCAAAAAAAUAGAAAAUCAGUUUCAAAUGAUAAAAUCGUUUCACUGUUUUCUUUGUUUCCAGUUUUGUAACAAGUGUCCUAUUCAUUUAUCGUCAUUUUUCUUCUUACAAGUGUCAUUGUUACCGUCUUUCUACUGUUUCCGUGUGAGUUUUUUUCUGCCCCUGCAAAAACUAUGGGAGAGGGAGGGGUUAUAAUGUUUCAAAAGAAAAAGAAAGU
rnacentral:ribozyme from 12 species